GAGGAAAGUCCGGGCUCCGGCGGGCAGGGUGCCAGGUAACGCCUGGGGGGCGCGAGCCUACGGAAAGUGCCACAGAAAAUAUACCGCCAGCUCAGGCUGGUAAGGGUGAAAUGGUGCGGUAAGAGCGCACCGCGCUGCUGGUAACAGCAGUGGCAGGGUAAACCCCACUCGGAGCAAGACCAAAUAGGGGAACAUUGGCGUGGCCCGCGUUGUUCCCGGGUAGGUCGCUUGAGGCGUCCGGUGACGGGCGUCCCAGAUGAAUGGUUGUCCACGACAGAACCCGGCUUAU
rnacentral:RNase_P_RNA from 1 species